rnacentral:ncRNA from 2 species
CUACCUUUGUGACGCAUUGGUUCAAAAGGUUAUCUCUUUUUCACUGGAUAAUCUGAUGAUUAAAAGGGAAUCAGGUGCAAGUCCUGAACAGUCCCGCUGCUGUAAAUUCCGUGUAUAUUGCAGGCAAUCGCUCAAGCCACUGGAAUGAUUUUCCGGGAAGGUAGUCUGCAAUAGGAAUGAGUCAGAAGACCUGCCAUGCAUAGUUUCUUCAC